rnacentral:rRNA from 1 species
GACAGAGGGGGCAAGCGUUGCUCGGAAUUACUGGGCGUAAAGGGCGCGUAGGCGGGCUGGCAAGUCGGUCGUGAAAUCCCUCGGCUCAACCGAGGAACGUCGAUCGAUACUGCUGUUCUUGAGGAUUGCAGAGGAGACUGGAAUUCCCGGUGUAGCGGUGAAAUGUGUAGAGAUCGGGAGGAACACCGGUGGCGAAGGCGGGUCUCUGGUCUGUAACUGACGCUGAGGCGCGAAAGCGUGGGGAGCAAACAGG